AAGAGUUGCAAAACUCCCACACCAUUGUGAACGUACCUACCCAACCGUUGCUUCGGCGGCGCGGCCCCCCCGGGGACGUACCGCCGGCGGCACGCAAAAACUAUGUUAUUUCUGGCCUCUCUGAGUAACUUAUUCAAUAAGUCA
rnacentral:misc_RNA from 1 species